GGUCCCAUGGUGUAAUGGUGAGCACUCUGGACUUUGAAUCCAGCGAUCCGAGUUCGAGUCUCGGUGGGACCU
rfam:Arabis alpina cultivar Pajares scaff_39178_1_contig_0, whole genome shotgun sequence.